CGCAGUGUUUGGCCUGAUGCGCCCAGGAGGGAGGGUAACAAGGAAGGUUGCCUGCCAAGUGCGCCAGAAGCCGUUGCCACGUCGAGGGAUCGAGGCGGGGUAGUUCAACAGAACCCUUGCCUUGAGACUGACGCUCGGUGGAUUACGCUAGAAUACGAGGCGAGACUCAAACCGAUUACCCAUCCCGGGCGAGAGAGAGCCGACGUCAGCGCAGAGCAGGCAGUGAGUGCACGAGCGGAGGAGGAACACAAUGCCGACUUGCGUUUCACUCACCAUCUACCACAUCUAUGCUGAGGAAAUGGAGCGACGAGCCCGCCUCCAAGAAAGGGAAAAUGAAAACCUGGGGAACAUGAACGACCGCCUCUUGGAGCAGAUUCGAGACCUAAGACAACACCUCGAGGGACAAGAAGAGCUACGUCAGCGCCGCAUGAGGCGCAGGGUUGGCUUGCGUGGGGGUGUGUAUAGAGUCAUCACAGACUGAGAGAAGUCAUC
rnacentral:lncRNA from 1 species